GAUGAACGCUAGCGGCAGGCUUAACACAUGCAAGUCGAGGGGCAGCGCGGGAUAGCAAUAUCCUGGCGGCGACCGGCGGACGGGUGCGUAACGCGUGAGCGACAUGCCCGUUGCCCGGGGACAACCGGUGGAAACGCCGACUAAUCCCCGAUGGGAUACGAUGCUUCAUGGCAUUGUAUUGAAGGUUACGGCGGCGACGGAUUGGCUCGCGUCCGAUUAGCUGGUUGGCGGGGUAACGGCCCACCAAGGCUGCGAUCGGUAGGGGUUCUGAGAGGAAGGCCCCCCACAAUGGGACUGAGACACGGCCCAUACUCCUACGGGAGGCAGCAGUGAGGAAUAUUGGUCAAUGGGCGGAAGCCUGAACCAGCCAUGCCGCGUGCGGGAAGGAGGCCCUAUGGGCUGUGAACCGCUUUUGCCUGGGGGCAAUAAGGGCGUCGCGCACGUCCGAUGAGAGUACCAGGCGAAUAAGCAUCGGCUAACUCCGUG
rnacentral:rRNA from 1 species